rnacentral:rRNA from 1 species
GUAGGUGGCAAGCGUUGUCCGGAAUUAUUGGGCGUAAAGCGCGCGCAGGCGGUUCUUUAAGUCUGAUGUGAAAGCCCACGGGCUCAACCGUGGAGGGUCAUUGGAAACUGGAGAACUUGAGUACAGAAGAGGAAAGCGGAAUUCCACGUGUAGCGGUGAAAUGCGUAGAGAUGUGGGGGAACACCAGUGGCGAAGGCGGCUUUCUGGUCUGUAACUGACGCUGAGGCGCGAAAGCGUGGGGAGCAAACAGGAUUAGAUACCCUGGUAGUCCACGCCGUAAACGAUGAGUGCUAAGUGUUAGGGGGUUUCCGCCCCUUAGUGCUGCAGCUAACGCAUUAAGCACUCCGCCUGGGGAGUACGGCCGCAAAGGCUG